GAUGAAGAACGCAGCGAAAUGCGAUAAGUAAUGCGAAUUGCAGAAUUCAGUGAAUCAUCGAAUCUUUGAACGCACCUUGCGCCCUUUGGACAUUCCGAAGGGCAUGCCUGUUUGAGUAUCAUGAACACCUCAACUCUCACGGCUUGUCCGUGAUGAGCUUGGACUUUGGGGGUCUUGCCGGCCUGUGGUCGGCUCCUCUCAAAUGGAUCAGCUUGCCAGUGUUUGGUGGCAUCACAGGUGUGAUAACUAUCUGCGCUUGUGGUUUUCCAUCAGAUAACCUUCAGUGAUAUGGAGGUUCGCUGGAGCUCACAAAUGUCUCUCCUUAGUGAGGACAGCUCUUUGAACGUUUGAUCUCAAAUCAGGUAGGACUACCCGCUGAACUUAAGCAUAUCAAUAAGCGGAGGA
rnacentral:misc_RNA from 1 species